ensembl:lncRNA
GAAGUAUGUAGCCUGGAAAUCAGAUGCAUGCUGUCAACAGAAACUGUUUAAAGCUAUGAAAAAAACUUUUGAAUUUUUCUGCACAUUUUAGACAAAAAGUAUAUAGAAUAUUUGAGGUUCAGAGAGACCAAAGCCACCAAAUCCAGAAGGACAUCAAGUAGAAAUACAAAAGUCAGAAAAAGCAAGAAGCUACAAAUCAUUUCCACCCCAGUGUGUCAGAGCCCACACUCAUUACCUCCCUGACAACAUCCCAGAACUUGGAGUUAAAGGGAUGGAAACAAGGUGAG